rnacentral:rRNA from 1 species
AUCUGAUCUCAAAUCAGGUAGGACUACCCGCUGAACUUAAGCAUAUCAAU